rnacentral:rRNA from 1 species
AAAUUGAAGAGUUUGAUCAUGGCUCAGAUUGAACGCUGGCGGCAGGCCUAACACAUGCAAGUCGAACGGUAACAGGAAGCAGCUUGCUGCUUUGCUGACGAGUGGCGGACGGGUGAGUAAUGUCUGGGAAACUGCCUGAUGGAGGGGGAUAACUACUGGAAACGGUGGCUAAUACCGCAUAACGUCGCAAGACCAAAGAGGGGGACCUUCGGGCCUCUUGCCAUCAGAUGUGCCCAGAUGGGAUUAGCUAGUUGGUGAGGUAACGGCUCACCAAGGCGACGAUCCCUAGCUGGUCUGAGAGGAUGACCAGCCACACUGGAACUGAGACACGGUCCAGACUCCUACGGGAGGCAGCAGUGGGGAAUAUUGCACAAUGGGCGCAAGCCUGAUGCAGCCAUGCCGCGUGUAUGAAGAAGGCCUUAGGGUUGUAAAGUACUUUCAGCGGGGAGGAAGGUGUUGUGGUUAAUAACCGCAGCAAUUGACGUUACCCGCAGAAGAAGCACCGGCUAACUCCGUGCCAGCAGCCGCGGUAAUACGGAGGGUGCAAGCGUUAAUCGGAAUUACUGGGCGUAAAGCGCACGCAGGCGGUCUGUCAAGUCGGAUGUGAAAUCCCCGGGCUCAACCUGGGAACUGCAUUCGA